ACGAACGCUGGCGGCAGGCCUAACACAUGCAAGUCGAACGCCCCGCAAGGGGAGUGGCAGACGGGUGAGUAACGCGUGGGAACAUGCCUUUCGGUUCGGAAUAGUCCCGGGAAACUGGGGUUAAUACCGGAUACGUCCUUCGGGAGAAAGAUUUAUCGCCGAGAGAUUGGCCCGCGUCUGAUUAGCUUGUUGGCGGGGUAAUGGCCCACCAAGGCGACGAUCAGUAGCUGGUCUGAGAGGAUGAUCAGCCACACUGGGACUGAGACACGGCCCAGACUCCUACGGGAGGCAGCAGUGGGGAAUAUUGGACAAUGGGCGCAAGCCUGAUCCAGCCAUGCCGCGUGAGUGAUGAAGGCCCUAGGGUUGUAAAGCUCUUUCGACGGGGACGAUAAUGACGGUACCCGUAGAAGAAGCCCCGGCUAACUUCGU
rnacentral:rRNA from 1 species